rnacentral:rRNA from 1 species
GACGAACGCUGGCGGCGUGCCUAAUACAUGCAAGUCGAACGCAGUGGGGACGGGUGAGUAACACGUGGGUAACCUCCCAUCAGAGGGGAUAACACUUGGAAACAGGUGCUAAACCGAUACUGAUGGAUGGACCCGCGGUGCAUUAGCUAGUUGGGGAGGUAACGGCUCACCAAGGCCACGAUGCAUAGCCGACCUGAGGGGGUAAGGGGCCACAGUGGGAUUGAUACACGGCCCAGACUCCUAGGGGGGGCAGCAGGGGGGAAUUUUCGGCAAGGGAAGAAAGUCAGACAGAGCAACGCCGGGUGGGAGGAGAGGGUUUUCGGAUCGUAGAGCUGUGUUGUGAGAGAAGGGGUAUCGAACCAGAAGGCCACGGCUAAUUACGUGCCAGCCGCGGCGGUAAUA